GGCCACGUAGCUCAGUCGGUAGAAGCAAAGGACUGAAAAUCCUUGUGUCGUUGGUUCAAUUCCAACCGUGGCCACCA
rnacentral:tRNA from 1 species